CUGCUGCCUUCCGUAGGAGUUUGGACCGUGUCUCAGUUCCAAUGUGGGGGACCUUCCUCUCAGAACCCCUACGCAUCGUCGGCUUGGUGGGCCGUUGCCCCACCAACUGCCUAAUGCGCCGCAUGCCCAUCCGUGACCGGGGUCGCCCCCUUUGGCCGGCAGGGGAUGUCCCCUCCCGGCAUUAUGUUGUAUUAGGCGGGAUUUCUCCCGGUUAUCCAUCUGUCACGGCCAGGUUGCAUACGUGUUACUCACCCGUGCGCCGGUCGCCGG
rnacentral:rRNA from 1 species